GAUGAACGCUGGCGGCGUGCCUAAUACAUGCAAGUCGAGCGAACAGACGAGGAGCUUGCUCCUCUGACGUUAGCGGCGGACGGGUGAGUAACACGUGGAUAACCUACCUAUAAGACUGGGAUAACUUCGGGAAACCGGAGCUAAUACCGGAUAAUAUAUUGAACCGCAUGGUUCAAUAGUGAAAGACGGUUUUGCUGUCACUUCUAGAUGGAUCCGCGCCGCAUUAGCUAGUUGGUAAGGUAACGGCUUACCAAGGCAACGAUGCGUAGCCGACCUGAGAGGGUGAUAGGCCACAUGGGAACUGGGACACGGACCAGACUCCUACGGGAGGCAGCAGUAGGGAAUGUGCCGCAAAGGGCGAAAGCCUGACGGAGCAACGCCGCGUGAGUGAUGAAGGUCUUCAGAUCGUAAAACUCUGUUAUUAGGGAAGAACAAAUGUGUAAGUAACUAUGCACGUCUUGACGGUACCUAAUCAGAAAGCCACGGCUAACUACGUG
rnacentral:rRNA from 1 species